CCUACGGGAGGCAGCAGUGGGGGAUAUUGCACAAUGGGGGAAACCCUGAUGCAGCGACGCCGCGUGGGUGAAGAAGCGCCUCGGCGCGUAAAGCCCUGUCAGCAGGGAAGAAAAUGACGGUACCUGAAGAAGAAGCCCCGGCUAACUACGUGCCAGCAGCCGCGGUAAUACGUAGGGGGCAAGCGUUAUCCGGAUUUACUGGGUGUAAAGGGGGCGGAGACGGCGAUGCAAGCCAGGAGUGAAAGCCCGGGGCCCAACCCCGGGACUGCUCUUGGAACUGCGUAGCUAGAGUGCAGGAGGGGCAGGCGGAAUUCCUGGUGUAGCGGUGAAAUGCGUAGAUAUCAGGAGGAACACCGGUGGCGAAGGCGGCCUGCUGGACUGCAACUGACGUUGAGGCCCGAAAGCGUGGGGAGCAAACAGGAUUAGAUACCCCAGUAGUC
rnacentral:rRNA from 1 species